CAAAAACAACGUACACACAUGUUGGCGUAUGAAUACUCAACGUCAGAGUGGGCGUGUCGCCAUCAAAAUUGACAACAUUGAAAAUAAAACUAAUAAUUUUAACCAAUCAGAAGACAGUAAAUACACCAAAUUUAUUUAUUCAGCUGUAAUGUACACAUAAAUUACAACAUUUAGUAUCAAUAAAUUUAUUUUUCUCUGAUUUUUCAUUUCAAGUAGUGUAGAACUGGUGUAUGUUUUUUAGCCAAAAUAAGACUUGCCUUUUUUACGUGCCAUAUGUAAAAAAUAGAAAAUUGUAUAGUUAUUUUGUGUAUCGUCUUUGGUAACAGGUAUUACUUUUUAUUUGUAAAAUCUUUAAAUGUCUACUAAUGAUUAUUGUCAGCAUGUGAACAUAAUGAUAAGAUACAUGUAAUUAUGUAUAUAUCAUACUGAAUUGUAACAUACAUGACCUUAGUUUGUAGAUAUUUACAUAAUACACUUUACACUUGUAAUGUAUUUUUAAAUUAAAACAAAAACAAACUUUAGUUCAAUCUAAGUCAAAAUUAGGUCUUUUUAUGUUGGCCUCUGAAGUAUGAAGUGUUCUUUUUAUAUAUAUUUAAUGUUAAGUGUCUAUAGAUUUAGAUAAGUGCAUUAAAUAAUGCAUGAUUUUAUAAACAUAUGAAAAGCUAAAUGCAAAAAAUUAGGCGAAUAUGAACAUUUUCUAUACACCCAUUGUUGCAUGAAUUGAGGUUAUACCUCAAAUCUAUUUUUAACUGUAAAUUAAAGAUAAAAAAAAGCAGUGCAUUACUUUUGUAGUUGUUGGACAAGGAACAAAAUUUAAGAUUAAUUCAUGCAGUUUCAACAAAAUGCCAAAAACAAAUAAAAAAUGUCAGUUCUAAUUUUGUCAAAACCUAUCCCUGCUGUAAUUUUUAUAACAAUGAAAAACAUCUGAAAAAUUUCUGAAAUUACAGUUUUCAUAUUGGAAAGUUUAACUAUUUUUCAUUAACAUUGCAUUGCCCUCACUUUCUUACAAAAUACAUCAGUAUAAAAAAAGUAGUUUAAAUACACUUAACAAUGUUUUUUAUAUUGGAUACAAACUUCUAACAUUUUUCGAAAUCUAUUGAUAAAUUUGUGUGUGUAAUUUAAAUGAUAACUGUAUAUAACUCUUCAUCUUCGCUAGUUUAGGAUUACGAUCAAUUUGUCUCCUUGCCUUACCAGAGAGGAGGGUAUUGAUCUUAAUCUUUGCCUCGCCAGAGUGGAGAGUAAUGGAUCUUAACUUUUGCCUAGCUAGACAAAAUGAGACUAGAUCGUUAUCAUUGUGUCACCUGAGAGGAAUGGACUGAUUUGUAUCUUUGCCUCACCAGGGGGGAGGGGACUAAAUCAUAUUUUUGCCUCACCAGAGGGGAGGGGACUAAAUCGU
rnacentral:lncRNA from 1 species